AGCAAACAAUAAAUAAUUUUCUCAAUUAAAUGAUCAAAUCCAGAAAUCACUAAAUGAAACUCAAACAGCACGUACACGACUACACGGUCCAUCAAGUGUACAUACAAUCAAAUACACAGGCACCAAAACAUGGUGGCAACAUCAACUAAAACUAUGAUGCACAUCUCCAGGCUGAUCUUUGGUCACAACAGCAGCCACCUCGACAACAUAAGAUCCUGAUCUAUAUAAAUUAUUUACUUAAAGAUUCUUCUCCUGGAGUUCCUUGUACACCAACUUUUGACGAAUGAAUGCCAAAAU
rnacentral:rRNA from 1 species